AAGCACACACACACACACACACACACACACACACACACACACACACACACACACACACACACACACACACACACACACACACACACACACACACACACACACACACACACACAUCGAUCGCCCUCCAGUUUCAACCUCACUCUGUCCGACUGUCAUACACAAAAUGUAGACGUGCUCUCUCACACACACACACACACACACACACAGACCGAAGUCCUGGCCAGUCAGAGCGACUGUCUCCCCCUUUUUAACCUAUUUAUUUGACACGCUCAACACACACACUCACACCCUCCUAACAUGCGCACACACAAAAACACACACACACUGGACGAGGUCGCAUUUUGAAGAGGUCGGCCGAAGAGGAAGAGGGGAAACUCACAUAUCUGUUACUGCUGGGGAGACAGACUUGUAUUUAUUUCCACAGCUUUCAUAUGCACUUGCCCUCCUCGCCUUUCAUUCUUUCUUCCUCGCGUGGGGAAGAGACACACCAGCUGAUGUUCUCCGUCACUGUGAUUGGCUGAUUCAAAGCUGCUUCGGUAAACUGUGCCCCACUGCUCUUCAUCUGCACCCUGCCACCCUCCUCCUCAGUUCUCUCUCCUUCCCUAAUUUGCUUUGGCUCUCUUAACUUAGUUUCUUCAAAGUGAAGUUAAGGUUUGUGUGUGAGAGUGUCGCCGUGAUGAUAUUGACUGAAGGUCAUAGUGCGACUGUUUCCUCUCUUCAAAAUGAAAAGGCGUGAUUCUGCUUGUGGCGGAUUCAGAGUCCCCUCAGGAACAAUGUCAUCCGCCUGCACUUUCAGUAACAUAAAUGCACAUGAAGACACAACUUGUAUUCCUUUUCCCUUAAAAAAAUCCACCUUCUAACUCAUGUUACUUUGUGAUGCUAACAGUGUAUCAACAGAGGUCGAAUAAGCUGGCGACGGACUAACGAUAAGUUCUAGAAUUUGAAGGUAUAUAUAAUAUAUAUACGUACAAACAUAUGAUGAAGAUGAAGAGCAUGUGGGGGAGCUGUAGGGAUUUUCUCUGGGGGGGGCGGGACGUACCCCGUCGAACCAGAGAGGCUGAAUAAAAAAAAUGCAAAAAAGAUGAAAAAAAGAUUUCCAUGGAUAUCUCUUCAAAAAGACAUUGUGGAAACUGUAUGAUAUUGUAUUUAUUUCAUUUGAUUUUUAAGAUUCUAUUUUUCUUUCAAGUUCUGUAUAUAUUGACAUUAAAGAUCAUUAUUGACAUGC